rnacentral:rRNA from 1 species
UACGAAGGGGGCUAGCGUUGCUCGGAAUCACUGGGCGUAAAGGGUGCGUAGGCGGGUUUUUAAGUCAGAGGUGAAAUCCUGGAGCUCAACUCCAGAACUGCCUUUGAUACUGGGAAUCUCGAGUCCGGGAGAGGUGAGUGGAACUGCGAGUGUAGAGGUGAAAUUCGUAGAUAUUCGCAAGAACACCAGUGGCGAAGGCGGCUCACUGGCCCGGUACUGACGCUGAGACGCGAAAGCGUGGGGAGCGAACGAGG